rnacentral:miRNA from 1 species
UUGGUUUUGUGUAGUAGAAA